UACGUAGGGUGCGAGCGUUAAUCGGAAUUACUGGGCGUAAAGCGUGCGCAGGCGGUUCGUCGUGUCCGAUGUGAAAGCCCCGGGCUCAACCUGGGAAUGGCAUUGGAAACUGGCGGACUCGAGUGUGGCAGAGGGGGGUGGAAUUCCGCGUGUAGCAGCGAAAUGCGUAGAGAUGCGGAGGAACACCGAUGGCGAAGGCAGCCCCCUGGGCUAACACUGACGCUCAGGCACGAAAGCGUGGGGAGCAAACAGG
rnacentral:rRNA from 1 species